rnacentral:rRNA from 1 species
CAGCCGCCACGGUAAUACGAAGGGGGCUAGCGUUGCUCGGAAUUACUGGGCGUAAAGGGAGCGUAGGCGGAUCGUUAAGUUGGGGGUGAAAGCCCGGGGCUCAACCUCGGAACUGCCUUCAAUACUGGCGAUCUUGAGUAUGAGAGAGGUGUGUGGAACUCCGAGUGUAGAGGUGAAAUUCGUAGAUAUUCGGAAGAACACCAGUGGCGAAGGCGACACACUGGCUCAUUACUGACGCUGAGGCUCGAAAGCGUGGGGAGCAAACAGGAUUAGAUACCACCGUAGUCCCUGUCUCUUAUAA